ACUAAUUAAAACAUUAGUCUCCAUUAAUAGAAAUUAGAUAAGAAUUGAAAAAAAGCUUGUGUAGGAGUCUAAACGAAACAUGAGGCACGGAGAAUCGAACCGACGGUCUUCAGAACCACAGUCUACCGCUUUACCUACACAACCAAUCCCGUACCUUACAUUUCAUAUUUUCAUUUGUCUUCUUAUACUUAUACUUAUACUUAUGGGCGCCGAUACUAUACUUGUUUAAAUAAAAUAAUUAAUAUCCUAAGCAGUAACGGUGAACAUAUUUAAUUUAUCAAACCAUAGAAUUCAAUUGAAGCUUCAGGGUCUGACAAACCUCAGCGAAAGAAAGUUGUAUCGUAAACCACCUAAAAAUAAAUUCUUCCGACGAUGACUCUGUAAUUUGUGAAUUCAUAACUAUUUUUAUACACCGACUUAGAGAUCGUUAUGAAACUGUGUGCAUAGCGAUUGCUCAAUGACGGUCGUUUAUUUGAAUACAUGUUGCUUCGCUUUUCCUCGAUGAAUUUCGUACACGUUUGCAGCCUGGCAGGCUGAUAUCGCAUUAAUCAUUGCGCAGGAUGUGGAGAAAGAACUACACAUUACCUACCGAAUUAAAUCGUUUCGCAUCGUCCAAACAUCAUUUAUCAGACGGUAAAAUAAAUUCCUAUUUGGAUUCAAUUUUUACAAAUAAACAACACGUUCGAGGAAGGUAAAGAUCGAUUUUGUAAUGUAGGAUACGUUGCCAACCCUAAUGGAAGGGCUAAUAGUUCAACCUCGGCAUUGUUUAACCUUUAAUCGUCGGAAUAUUCACACCGUUGACGCCUUUUGGAUCGAUUACACGACUCGAAAAAUUUCAUUGGAGGGAUUUUGCAGUAAUUUAAAUUAUUCGAAGAAAAUUUCAAAUGGAGUGAAUUUUAUUAUUGAUAAUUCCGAUUCAAGUGGACGAUGAUUUCAAACAAAUAUUCCGUGUUUCGGGAAAGCAAUAUCAACUUCUAUGGUUUAUUUGCAACGUGGGAAUUUCGAAAUUAAUGUAAGAGAAAAAAAUCAAUGGAGAAAUGGAAUUUUUUCUGUUCAAAGAAGUAUUUGUCACAGGAUGAAUUUUUGAUUUAUAGGAAACGUUCGACCUACCUAAAAAUGAAUUUCUGAUCCUCGACAAAAUAAUACUCCAAUAUUAAAAAAAAAAAUGAAAUUUAAACCUCUAAAAAAUGAAUAAACUAAAUUAAAAAUGACGUACAACAUUAAUUAUAAUUCUUGAA